CCCGCCGCCCCCCGGGGCUGUGAGCGUGCCCCCGAGGCGAGCCCUCGCCGGGACCGCAGCGCCCCCGGCCUCCACCCCCGCCCCGCAGCCUCGGGCCCUGGAGUCCCCAGCCCCGGGAAAGGCACGGUGGCAGGGGACUUCGCAGCAGUUGCCUCUCUGCCCUAAGGACUUCCCACAGGAAGACGCCAAAACCUGCACAUGUUCCCAAAGAAACCACACAGCUCGCGGUUACAGACAAACAUCCUACGCUAGGUAGCUCCUCUGCAGCCCUCGGGGGGGACUCAGGUGGGUGGCUGCUCUAUUCAGGAAAGGCCCUAGCUUCCUGAAGGGGACGCAGUGCAACUCCGCGUGGCUGCGUGAUCAAGGAAGCCGCCUGUUUCGAACCUCAUCUGAACACCUUCGCCACGGAGUUAGUCUACAGUAACCGAGAAGAAGAUUCCCAUGUGCUCCUAGAACUCCCUUCUCAGAUUUUCCCUCCUAUAGAGAAGAGAGCGGGCUUUGUGGCUCACAGUGGCCUGCUCUCCAGCGCCCUGGCAGACCCUGUGUGCAGCAGCAAGGCCUCUGUGAAUCUCUGUAUCGGAGAAGGAAGCUGUGGGGAGGAAACAGGCUGCUUCCCCAGAGUAGCUGUAAAGAUUCGCAGCUCUCCCACAUCUUGCUUGCUAGUCUCGGGAGGCCUCCGAGCUGGCCCAUUUCAAGCAUCAAGAGGUCGUUAGGACAUCAGAAGAGGGCUGCCAGCAACAGCUUAGAUUCAGACCACUCACAUGCCUCCCUCCCCCUCAAAGACAGAACCAGGCUGGCCUCAAUCUCAGAGAACCGUCUGCCUCUUCCUGAAUGCUGGGAUCACAGGACACCAUGCCCGGCUUAACCUGUAUUAUCAAUCUCAGGUUUUCUUUUCCUUUUUCAGUGAGUCCAGGACAGCCAAGGCUACAGACACCCUGUCUCGAAAAAACAAAGCAAAAAAAGAAAAUAUAGCGCGGUGCUGUGCUGUGCUUGCCUAGUAACUGGAAACCCUGGCACCAAUCUCAGCGCUACACUAAAUAAAUGAGUAAAUCUAAAAUGAGGUAAAAAGGAAAUAAUGACAGCAUUCCUACAGAAGGUAAAGGGGCAGAGAUAGCACAAGAGGCACACUUUCUUCGUUGCUUUGCCGUUCUCUUUCUCUGAGAAGACUUCCCAGGGCCCGAGGUGGCCUCAGACUUGUUCUGUUGAUCUGGGGCAUGCAGGAAGCCUGAGGUUUAAUGGACUGCAUAAAUUACCCAGCUUAUGGUUGGCCCCAGGUGUGAUCUGGAAGUACAGUCAGGAGGAUCAGAUUUGGUUUCAAUGUUGUUGUCUUUUUUCAAGACAGGGUGUUGGAGGUUGGUCUGAUACUAAUUACUGGCCCUCUGUGUAAACCUGCCUAAUUCAUACUUGAUUGACCAAGUAAACAGCCUAUACCUGGGCAGGGCAGAAUGGGUGGGCGUGGCUAAAGUCCCAGGGCUUUGGAGAAUCCCAUGAGAAAUCACAGGAAGGACAGAGAGGAAGAAGGAGGAUGCCAGGAUGGGUUAGCCUGGAAAACACACCACGUGGGCCGAGAAAGAACUCCAGUAAUGGCGUGAAAAGGCUCAGAUGGAGAAUAUAAGCACGUACCAUGGGAUUAUGGAUGGAAGGUAGUCCAACUGAGGAGGAUUAAGGCAGAUGGCGUUGGUUGGGGGCUGGGAGAUGGAUGGUGAGGUUUCUGAGACUGUAUGUAAGUGAAAUAUCUGCCCAGCCCAAGGUAAAUAAGGCAAUUAUAAAUCUAACAGGUGUCUGUGUCUCAUUUGUGAUAGUAGGUUAAAUAAUACCGCCGUGAUAAUCAUAGGGCUAAUAAUAAAGUUUAUAGCCCAACACAUUUUUAAAAUUAAGUAUAACACCUCCUCUAAUCUUUUAGGGACUUCCUCUCAGGCCAAGCCAAGAUCAUGGCUUUAAAGCAGAGGGGAAUUUCAGGACUAGCCAAUAAGAAGGAGAGCUGGGGGUUAUUUUUAUCCUUUCUGGGGGCAGUCAGGAUCAGAGUUUCUUCUACACAGCUCUAACCUGCUAUCUAAAUCAGUUUGGCCUCAGACUCACAGAGAUCUGCCCAGAGUAAAGAUGUGACCUUAGCACAACUGACUACACAAUGGAAGUACCAUUCAGGCAGUAGAACUCAGCACUUAGGCGGUUCUACCUGCCAAGCACAAGCAAAGGCCAAAGUCUGUAGUUCUAGGAAAGUCUCUAAAUGUUCUUGUUGGGUCUCAAUCCAAAACAAACAGGUAACUAAGAACCUGAGUAACAUAUCUAAGUGGAUCCUGGCUGCCAGGUUCUCCCAGCAUCCUUCAGUCCCUACCUGUGCAUACCUUG